UACGAAGGGGGCUAGCGUUGCUCGGAAUUACUGGGCGUAAAGCGUGCGUAGACGGCUAUCUAAGUCGGGUGUGAAAGCCCCGGGCUCAACCUGGGAAUUGCAUUCGAGACUGAAUAGCUAGGGUACGGUAGAGGGAAGUGGAAUUCCCGGUGUAGUGGUGAAAUGCGUAGAGAUCGGGAGGAACACCAGUGGCGAAGGCGACUUCCUGGCCUGUUCUUGACGCUGAGGCGCGAAAGCUAGGGGAGCAAACGGG
rnacentral:rRNA from 1 species